rnacentral:rRNA from 1 species
GACAGAGGGUGCAAACGUUGUUCGGAAUUACUGGCGUAAAGCGUGUGUAGGUGGCUGCGUAAGUCGGAUGUGAAAGCCCUGGGCUCAACUCAGGAAGUGCACUCGAUACUGCGUAGCUCGAGUACCGGAGAGGUUGGUAGAAUUCGUCGGUGUAGAGGUGAAAUUCGUAGAUAUCGAGAGGAACACCUGUGGCGAAGGCGGCCAACUGGACGAGUACUGACACUGAGACACGAAGCGUGGGGAGCAAACAGG